rnacentral:tRNA from 3 species
GCCCCGGUAGCCCAGUGGCAGAGGCAGUGCUCUCAAACAGCAUUCAGCGUGGGUUCGAAUCCCACCCGGGGCA